GAGGAGUAUGAACGUGGGGAUGCAGAAGAGUAGACAGCAUCAGCUACUCUCCAUGACAGGACCACUGCGUAUAGAAAUGGGCUUCAGUUGUUCGUUCCUUUCCUUCUUUUGGAGCAUCAAUCAAAUCAAAGUGGGGGCCUUGAUGGGUACUUUACUAGUGGCAUGUUUGUUCACCAAUUGUACAGGGGUCUCUAGAGCUCUUAGCGAUCCCAUUGGCACUGCUAGUUCUUAACGAUACCAAAAUCACCACCACCAAUGCAACUUUCAACAAUGGCAAUGAACAAUAAGGGUAUUGUAGAAAUUUUAAAGUGAUAUCACAUGUGAUUGGAACAUGAUGAAAAAUUAAUGACAA